AGCUAGACCAUUGGCUCCAGGGAGAAUCCUCCCUCCACCUGGAGAGAUAACAGCAGAGCCAGAUCCAGCCCCAGAGGCCGCCUGCCCCUGGGACGUGACCACCAAGAACCUGCUGAGGGAGGAGAAGCCUGACUUCUUGGAGUUCCCUCCCCGGCUGGUGGCAGAGCAGUUGACACUGAUGGAUGUGGAGCUCUUCAAGACAGUGAGGCCCCACGAAUUCCUGGACUCCAUCUGGUCCCAGGGUGACAACAGGGG